UACCAGCAGCUCAAGUGGUGAUCGUUAUUAUUGGGCCUAAAGCGUCCGUAGCCGGUCUGGUAAACUCUUGGGUAAAUCGGGCAGCUUAACUGUCCGAAUUCUGAGGAGACUGCCAGACUUGGGACCGGGAGAGGCCAGAGGUACUCGUAGGGUAGGGGUGAAAUCCUGUAAUCCUAUGGGGACCACCAGUGGCGAAGGCGUCUGGUCAGAACGGGUCCGACGGUAAGGGACGAAGCCCUGGGGCACAAACCGGAUUAGAUACCCGCGUA
rnacentral:rRNA from 1 species